GACGGAGGAUGCAAGUGUUAUCCGGAAUCACUGGGCGUAAAGCGUCUGUAGGUGGUUCAAUAAGUCAACUGUUAAAUCUUGAGGCUCAACUUCAAAAAUCGCAGUCGAAACUAUUGGACUCGAGUAUAGUAGGGGUAAAGGGAAUUUCCGGUGGAGCGGUGAAAUGCGUAGAGAUCGGAAAAGAACACCAACGGCGAAAGCACUCUGCUGGGCCGACACUGACACUGAGAGACGAAAGCUAGGGGAGCGAAUGGG
rnacentral:rRNA from 1 species